CUACCUCGAAGUGGGGAUAGCUCGGCGAAAGCCGGAUUAAUACCGAAUGUGAUCGUGAGAUCAAAGCUGGGGAUCGUAAGACCUGGCGCUUUGAGAUGGGGCUGCGGCCUAUCAGCUAGUUGGCGGGGUAACGGCCCACCAAGGCUUAGACGGGUAGCUGGUCUGAGAGGACGACCAGCCACACUGGAACUGAGACACGGUCCAGACACCUACGGGUGGCAGCAGUCGAGGAUUUUUCUCAAUGGGGGAAACCCUGAAGGAGCGACGCCGCGUGAGGGAUGAAGGUCUUCGGAUUGUAAACCUCUGUCAUCUGGGAACAAAGUGCUCUACCUAACACGUGGAGUAUUGAUAGUACCGGAAGAGGAAGCAGUGGCUAACUCUGUGCCAGCAGCCGCGGUAAUACAGAGACUGCAAGCGUUGUUCGGAUUCAUUGGGCGUAAAGGGUGCGCAGGCGGUGUGUUAAGUCGGAUGUGAAAUCUCACAGCCUAACUGUGAUAGGUCAUUCGAAACUGGCAUGCUAGAGGACUGGAGAGGAGACUGGAAUGGUCGGUGUAGCGGUGAAAUGCGUAGAGAUCGACCAGAACACCGGUGGCGAAGGCGGGUCUCUGGACAGUUCCUGACGCUCAGGCACGAAAGCCAGGGG
rnacentral:rRNA from 1 species